CACGAACGCUGGCGGCAGGCUUAACACAUGCAAGUCGAGCGCCCCGCAAGGGGAGCGGCAGACGGGUGAGUAACGCGUGGGAAUCUACCCAUCUCUACAGAAUAACGCAUGGAAACGUGUGCAAUACCGUAUACGUCCUUCGGGAGAAAGAUUUAUCGGAGAUGGAUGAGACCGCGUUGGAUUAGCUAGUUGGUGGGGUAAAGGCCUACCAAGGCGACGAUCCAUAGCUGGUCUGAGAGGAUGAUCAGCCACACUGGGACUGAGACACGGCCCAGACUCCUACGGGAGGCAGCAGUGGGGAAUAUUGGACAAUGGGCGCAAGCCUGAUCCAGCCAUGCCGCGUGAGUGAUGAAGGCCCUAGGGUUGUAAAGCUCUUUCACCGGUGAAGAUAAUGACGGUAACCGGAGAAGAAGCCCCGGCUAACUUCGUGCCAGCCGCCGCAGUAAUAC
rnacentral:rRNA from 1 species